AAUCAACGCUGGCGGCGCGCUUAACACAUGCAAGUCGAGCGAGAAAGGGGAGCAAUCCCUGAGUACAGCGGCGUACGGGUGAGUAACACGUGGGUGAUCUACCUUCUAGUGUGGAAUAACCCUGGGAAACCGGGGCUAAUACCGCAUAAGCCUGUGAAGGGAAAGCAGCAAUGCGCUGGAAGAGGAGCCCGCGGCCGAUUAGCUAGUUGGUGAGGUAACGGCCCACCAAGGCGAUGAUCGGUAGCCGGCCUGAGAGGGCACACGGCCACACUGGCACUGAAACACGGGCCAGACUCCUACGGGAGGCAGCAGUGGGGAAUCUUGCACAAUGGAGGCAACUCUGAUGCAGCGACGCCGCGUGAGCGAUGAAGCCCUUCGGGGUGUAAGCUCUUUCGGCAGGGACGAUAAUGACGGUACCUGAAGAAGAAG
rnacentral:rRNA from 1 species